GGGGCUGUGGCUCAGUGGUAGAGCAUCUGCUUGGGACGCAGAAGUUCCCAGGUUCAAUCCCUGACUUCUCCA